AGACCCGAAACCCGGUGAUCUAGCCAUGGGCAGGUUGAAGGUUGGGUAACACUAACUGGAGGACCGAACCGACUAAUGUUGAAAAAUUAGCGGAUGACCUGUGGCUGGGGGUGAAAGGCCAAUCAAACCGGGAGAUAGCUGGUUCUCCCCGAAAGCUAUUUAGGUAGCGCCUCGUGAAUUCAUCUCCGGGGGUAGAGCACUGUUUCGGCUAGGGGGCCAUCCCGGCUUACCAACCCGAUGCAAACUGCGAAUACCGGAGAAUGUUAUCACGGGAGACACACGGCGGGUGCUAACGUCCGUCGUGAAGAGGGAAACAACCCAGACCGCCAGCUAAGGUCCCAAAGUCAUGGUUAAGUGGGAAACGAUGUGGGAAGGCCCAGACAGCCAGGAUGUUGGCUUAGAAGCAGCCAUCAUUUAAAGAAAGCGUAAUAGCUCACUGGUCGAGUCGGCCUGCGCGGAAGAUGUAACGGGGCUAAACCAUGCACCGAAGCUGCGGCAGCGACGCUGAUGCGUUGUUGGGUAGGGGAGCGUUCUGUAAGCCUGCGAAGGUGACCUGUGAGGGUUGCUGGAGGUAUCAGAAGUGCGAAUGCUGACAUAAGUAACGAUAAAGCGGGUGAAAAGCCCGCUCGCCG
rnacentral:rRNA from 1 species